CCCAGACUCCUACGGGAGGCAGCAGUGGGGAAUAUUGCACAAUGGGGGAAACCCUGAUGCAGCGACGCCGCGUGAGUGAAGAAGUAUUUCGGUAUGUAAAGCUCUAUCAGCAGGAACGAGACAAGACGGUACCUGACUAAGAAGCCCCGGCUAACUACGUGCCAGCAGCCGCGGUAAUACGUAGGGGGCAGGCGUUAUCCGGAUUUACUGGGUGUAAAGGGAGCGUAGACGGCAAUACAAGUCGGAAGUGAAAUACCCGGGCUUAACCUGGGAACUGCUUUGGAAACUGUAUGGCUGGAGUGCUGGAGAGGUAAGCGGAAUUCCUAGUGUAGCGGUGAAAUGCGUAGAUAUUAGGAGGAACACCAGUGGCGAAGGCGGCUUACUGGACAGUAACUGACGUUGAGGCUCGAAAGCGUGGGGAGCAAACAGGAUUAGAUACCCGAGUA
rnacentral:rRNA from 1 species